AUUGAACGCUGGCGGCAGGCCUAACACAUGCAAGUCGAACGAGUGGCGGACGGGUGAGUAAUGUCUGGGAAACUGCCCGAUGGAGGGGGAUAACUACUGGAAACGGUAGCUAAUACCGCAUACCAUCGGAUGAGCCCAUAUGGGAUGAGCUAGUAGGUGGUGUAAUGGCUCACCUAGGCGAAUAUCCCUAGCUGGUCUGAGAGGAUGACCAGCCACACUGGAACUGAGACACGGUCCAGACUCCUCCGGGAGGCAGCAGUGGGGAAUAUUGCACAAUGGGCGCAAGCCUGAUGCAGCCAUGCCGCGUGUAUGAAGAAGGCCUUCGGUUUGUAAAGUACUUUCAGCGAGGAGGCGUUACUCGCAGAAGAAGCACCGGCUAACUCCGUGCCAGCAGCCGCGGUAAUUC
rnacentral:rRNA from 1 species